rnacentral:lncRNA from 1 species
UUAUUAUGACUAAAGAGAUAUUUGGAUGGAAACAUUAAAGUAAUGACUUUAGUGUGUUCCAUUAUGAAUGCAACAUAUAUUGCCAUAUAGAAGUUUACAACAAUGUUGUUUGGAUGGGAAAGUUCAUUUAUGAACUCUCUAUUCGAUUCCAACCAGAAAGUGUAUGACACUAAUGGGGCGAUAGCUCAAGCCUGGGAAUCAAGGUCUCAUCAAGGUCCGAACACAAAUGAGAGACUGAACCACAUGAUUGAGAAUCAUGUAUAAUGGUGACGUCGUUAUUCUCAAGGUUGCUUCUAUGGAUAACACAUAUAGAUAUCCACUGUCUAGGCCUACUAUUCAGCCAUUUAUGAAAUGACUACAGAAGAGGUAUCAUCAAGAUGACCAAGUUGAUUGGCUCUAGUGCAAGUGGGAGAUUGUUGGAAAUGUGCCCUAAAGCCAAUCAUGUGAUGAUACUUUACGGACAUUUCACAUGUUAAACUAAUCUAGUUUACAUAUAAAGGGCAAAGAUUAUUGUUUGAGCCGUCUCAUAUAAAUGUUAUAUGCUUAAACGAUAAAGUCCAAGGAAUAUGUGAUUAGGAGAAUGUAAUCUAAUGAAGUUAGAUUCAUGAGACCAUUCUUUCGUAGACACAUCCUAAAAUUUCCUGAUCAUAGGAUUGCCAAUUGAGCGUUGACAGUCCGUUAAGAUCAGUACGUACUAUGUCUUCUCUCAGGGAGAGUGAUUAGUCUCGAGUCAAUGGUGUGUGUGACAUCAAGACAAGUACGGUAGGUGCUCAAUAGAGAAUGAGUUCACUGAACGCGAUCAAAGAAGAGUUCUCAUAUUCCAUGUCACAUGAGAACUCAUGGUUGGGAUAAUGCAAAUUAGUCCUUUGACCUGAGGCAUCAUAGUUGUCUUGUAGUUAAGACCUUGAUCUUUGAUUAUGUCAAAGUCACUCCAUCAGGAGGGUGUCCACGGCAUCGUUGGGGUCAAGUGACUUAGCUAUGGAGACAAGUGAAUGCGCAACAAGGGAUCUCUAACCUUCAAACCGUUUGAGGGAGAAUACUCUCUGAUAUGAUUUGAAUCUCUGGCCAGAGUAUGAAUGAGAUUAGGGAAUGCGUUCCGAAUCACAUUCAAGUUAAUCAUAUAAGCACAAGACACACAUUGGAUAGUAGACAUGAGAAAAUAAACUAUCAAACCAAACAAUGUGGUCAAGAGUAUUAGAUUAGAGAAGGACCGUAUUGCAUUUGUAAUCUCGAACUGACUAGGUUCUCCACCUCUUCUGAUUAGCUUGGGUAACCAUGAUAUGCUGCUAGGCGUCACUCAUGGUUUGUGGAAGCCCUAAACGUGUGUAAUCACUAAAGGGAGAAUUGAAAAUAGUUUCAAUUC